CUGCAGCCCGAGUGGUGAUCGAUUUUAUUGGGCCUAAAGCAUCCGUAGCCGGCUCUGUAAGUUUUCGGUUAAAUCUGUACGCUCAACGUACAGGCUGCCGGGAAUACUGCAGAGCUAGGGAGUGGGAGAGGUAGACGGUACUCGGUAGGAAGGGGUAAAAUCCUUUGAUCUAUUGAUGACCACCUGUGGCGAAGGCGGUCUACCAGAACACGUCCGACGGUGAGGGAUGAAAGCUGGGGGAGCAAACCGGAUUAGAUACCCGAGUAGUCC
rnacentral:rRNA from 1 species